CGGUAAUUCCAGCUCCAAUAGCGUAUACUAAAGUUGUUGCAGUUAAAAAGCUCGUAGUUGGAUUUCUGCGGGGACGGAGCGGCCGGACGCAACUUGCGUCUCGAGCUAGCGCUCUCCCCGCAUCCUGCCGCGAACCGUGCUACCAUUAGCUUGGUGGCGCUGGGGAUCGGCUCGAUUACUUUGAGAAAAAUAGAGUGUUCAAAGCAGGCCACACGCCUUGAAUAAGUUAGCAUGGAAUAAUGACUAAGGACUUCGGUUCUAUUUUGUUGGUGUUCGGGACUGAAGUAAUGAUUGAUAGGGACAGUUGGGGCGGUCUGUAUUCCAAAGCGAGAGGUGAAAUUCUUAGACCUUCGGAAGACAAACAGCUGCGAAAGCGUUCCGCAAGGAUGUUCCCUUUGAUCAAGAACGAAAGUUGGGGGAUCGAAGACGAUCAGAUACCGUCGUAGUCUCAACUAUAAACUAUACCAGCUAGGGAUCGGUCAACGUUUAAUCAUUCGACUUGAUCGGCACCUUAUGAGAAAUCAAAGCAUCUGGGUUCCGGGGGGAGUAUGGUCGCAAGGCUGAAACUUAAAGGAAUUGACGGAAGGGCACCACCAGCCGUGGAGCCUGUGGCUUAAUUUGACUCAACACGGGAAAACUUACCAGGUCCAGACAUAGUAAGGAUUGACAGAUUGAUAGCUCUUUCUUGAUUCUGUGGGUGGUGGUGCAUGGCCGUUCUUAGUUGGUGGAGUGAUUUGUCUGGUUAAUUCCGUUAACGAACGAGACCCCAGCCUGCUAAAUAGCGCGGCUGAGCUUUGCUCGGUGCGAGCUUCUUAGAGGGACUAUGAUGCGCGAUAGCACAUGGAAGUUUGGGGCAAUAACAGGUCUGUGAUGCCCUUAGAUGUUCUGGGCCGCACACGGGCUACACUGGCGCCUGCAACGAGCAUAUCAGCUGGCCCGAGAGGGUCUUGGCUAAUCUUUUGAACCGGCGCCGUGCUUGGGAUUGACCAUUGCAAUUGUUGGUCAUGCAACGAGGAAUGCCUUGUAAACGCGAGUCAUCAGCUCGCAUUGAAUACGUCCCUGCCCUUUGUACACACCGCCCGUCGCUCCUACCGAUGAAUGUUCCGAUGAAAUUUUCGGAGAGCGCCAGAGAACGGGGCUCUGCCUUGCAGAUCUGGAGGCUCAAAGUCAUUUAAAUCUGAACAUUUCGAGGAAGGAGAAGUCGUAACAAGGUAGCCG
rnacentral:rRNA from 1 species